rnacentral:rRNA from 1 species
UACGUAGGGGGCGAGCGUUGUCCGGAAUCAUUGGGCGUAAAGCGCGCGUAGGCGGCCCUGUAAGUCCGUUGUGAAAGUCAAAGGCUCAACCUUUGAAAGCCGAUGGAUACUGCAGGGCUAGAGUCCGGAAGAGGCGAGUGGAAUUCCUGGUGUAGCGGUGGAAUGCGCAGAUAUCAGGAGGAACACCAAUAGCGAAGGCAGCUCGCUGGGACGUUACUGACACUGAGGCGCGAAAGCGUGGGGAGCGAACAGG